UCAGUAUAUAAAGUAUUUACCAAAAACUCAAUAUUUUUGUAGGGGGGGUUAGCCCAUAGAUUUUGAGAAAAUUUCAAAAAAUAUGAAUAUAUUGUUUUAAUGCUUGGUUGCAUCCUGCACUAACAUAUGAUGAUGUUCAAAGAGGUUUGGAGCCUUUGUCGUCUCCGUUUAUCAAGAAAAUAAUAAUUUUAUAGUGGUUAUUCUGUCGAUUUAGGGAGUGUUAUGAAGACUUACAAAAUUAAGUGAAAAAAUAAUUGAACGAUGCUCAUUUACCAUGAAAAUGAGUUUAGCAUACAUUAAUACAAAUGUAGAAUAUGGUAGAAAUUUUAAAACAACACUACAUAUUAUGGGCUUCAUUAUAUAACGAAUUACCAAAAUUUCAAUGUUUUUGUAGGGGUUAGCCCAUUGAUUUUGAGAAAAUUUCAAAAAA